rnacentral:lncRNA from 1 species
AUGUCACGACCCAGUUUAACACUGAGUGCCUCCUCACCCAGCAGCGCGUUGCGGCCCCGUUCGUCAGGCAGGAACCUGCAGUCCACAGCGCAAACCAGGAGGGUCUCGGGAAGCGAGGGGGACUUGACCCCGACCAACAUGAACCCAGGCGGCACAUCCAGGGGGUCCAAGGCCAGCGAGGGCAGGCGUAGGUCCCUGCCCGCCUGGCAGAAGCCUGUGGAGAGCGAGGACAGGGUGAGACUCUACAGGUCCAGUCAUCAGCAUAAUGUGACUUAUCAAUGCACCCACCAUCUGUGGUGCAGCAUCCCUCAGGCGGGGGCUUCAUCUGGUAUUGCAUCGGGGGGGUGUUGGACUCUAAGGCGUCUUCAUCGUCCUCAUCCUCGUUCUCCGUACGGCCUGGACACAUGGAAAAAGAUGCAGCUCAGCCACAGGAAGGAGGGUGGCGCCGCCGUGUGCGUGCGUGCGUUCCACCCACCGUCGUGGGCCGGCGCCUGCUCCGUCUCCAGGUACAGCUGUGAGAAGACGGGCCGAGGCACCACCGUGUUGGACCGCAGCGACGCCUCGAUGGAGUUGUGGAGCACCUCCUCGAAGCGCGUGGUCCGCAGCUGGCCCGCGUACGAGUUCCCCAUUGGUGACCUCAGCGGCGGGAGCUCGGCGGCUAUUCUUCAUCAAAAUCCUGCGAGGCGACGCGACGAGCUGUCACCAUGUCGACGGCGCGAGACCUUCGGCGGGACUGGGUGUCGCGCGUGUCAUCACCUCUAAUCCUGGAGGAAAGCCCCCCCCCCUUUCUCAGUAAUGGUACGGUCCGACGCGUCCCUGCUUCUACGGGAGACGGUGCGUCCACCUUCAACCUGCCUUCACUGCGGUCAGAGGUUAAUGGAGCUCCGUCGUGUUUCUCUGUUUCCUGCUCCGACCGACCUGUUCGCACACUUUGAGUCCACAGUGACUCAAAAAAAGUUUCAGCCAAAGUUAUUUGUGCGUCCGCAGUAAUAAUCACAUGGCAAGCCGAGGUUGAUGGUGAAAGGAACUCCAUAGUUUGAGCAGCUCAACUCACGUCAAGAAUGAAAUCUCAUUUUUCCAACGAGAAGAGAAAACGUUGAUGUAAUUUGAAAAUAUCUAAAACACACACACACACACACACACACACACACACACACACACACACACACACACACACACACACACACACACACACACAUUACUACAGUCAAAAGUGAUAUUCUAUUAAAUAAACUGAUCAAUAUGGAUGAAUAAUGAAAAAUA